rnacentral:rRNA from 1 species
CCUACGGGAGGCAGCAGUGGGGAAUUUUGGACAAUGGGCGCAAGCCUGAUCCAGCAAUGCCGCGUGAGUGAAGAAGGCCUUCGGGUUGUAAAGCUCUUUUGUCAGGGAAGAAACGGUGAGGGCUAAUAUCUCUUGCUAAUGACGGUACCUGAAGAAUAAGCACCGGCUAACUACGUGCCAGCAGCCGCGGUAAUACGUAGGGUGCAAGCGUUAAUCGGAAUUACUGGGCGUAAAGCGUGCGCAGGCGGUUUUGUAAGUCUGUCGUGAAAUCCCCGGGCUCAACCUGGGAAUUGCG